UUUACUGAGAGUUUGAUCCUAGCUCAGGGUGAACGCUGGCGGUAUGGAUAAGGCAUGCAAGUCGAAUGGUCCAGAUUUAUUUUUGGGACCCAUGGCAGACGAGGUAGUAACACGUAGGAACGUCCCCCAAAGUCGGGCAUAACCAGUCGAAAGAUUGGAUAAUUCCCGAUACGUCGCAAGAUGAAAGACAAAUUAUUUAUUUAAUCUGUCGCUCUGGGAGCGGCCUGCGUAAUAUCAGCUAGUUGGUGAGGUAAUGGCUCACCAAGGCUAUGACGUUUAGGGGACCUGAGAGGGUGACCCCCACCGAUGAUACUGAGACACGGAUCAUACCCCUACGGGGGGCUGCAGCCAAGAACAUUCGACAAUGGGCGAAAGCCUGAUCGAGCGAUACCGCGUGGUGGAUGAAGCGCUUCGGCGCGUAAACACCUUUUAUGGAGGAGGAAGUUAUUGACGUUACUCCAUGAAUAAGGGGCUC
rnacentral:rRNA from 1 species